AUUGAACGCUGGCGGCAGGCCUAACACAUGCAAGUCGAACGAGUGGCGGACGGGUGAGUAAUGUCUGGGAAACUGCCUGAUGGAGGGGGAUAACUACUGGAAACGGUAGCUAAUACCGCAUACUAUUAGAUGUGCCCAGAUGGGAUUAGCUAGUUGGUGGGGUAACGGCUUACCAAGGCGACGAUCACGAGCUGGUCUGAGAGGAUGACCAGUCACACUGGGACUGAGACACGGUCCAGACUCCUACGGUAGGCAGCAGUGGGGAAUAUUGCACAAUGGGCGAAAGCCUGAUGCAGUCAUGCCGCGUGUAUGAAGAAGGCCUUCGGGUUGUAAAGUACUUUCAGCGGGGAGGCGUUACCCGCAGAAGAAGCACCGGCUAACUCCGUGCCAGCCGCCGCGGUAAUAC
rnacentral:rRNA from 1 species